GACGAACGCUGGCGGCGUGCUUAACACAUGCAAGUCGAACGGAAAGGCCCUGCUUUUGUGGGGUGCUCGAGUGGCGAACGGGUGAGUAACACGUGAGUAACCUGCCCUUGACUUUGGGAUAACUUCAGGAAACUGGGGCUAAUACCGGAUAGGAGCUCCUGCUGCAUGGUGGGGGUUGGAAAGUUUCGGCGGUUGGGGAUGGACUCGCGGCUUAUCAGCUUGUUGGUGGGGUAGUGGUUUACCAAGGCUUUGACGGGUAGCCGGCCUGAGAGGGUGACCGGCCACAUUGGGCCUGAGAUACGGCCCAGACGCCAACGGGAGGCAGCAGUGGGGAAUAUGGCACAAUGGGCGGAAGCCUGAUGCAGCAACGCCGCGUUCGGGAUGACGGCCUUCGGGUUGUAAACCGCUUUCGCCUGUGACGAAGCGUGAGUGACGGUAAUGGGUAAAGAAGCACCGGCUAACUACGUG
rnacentral:rRNA from 1 species